AGUGAACGCUGGCGGUAGGCCUAACACAUGCAAGUCGAACGGCAGCACAGUAAGAGCUUGCUCUUACGGGUGGCGAGUGGCGGACGGGUGAGGAAUACAUCGGAAUCUACUUUUUCGUGGGGGAUAACGUAGGGAAACUUACGCUAAUACCGCAUACGACCUACGGGUGAAAGCAGGGGAUCUUCGGACCUUGCGCGAUUGAAUGAGCCGAUGUCGGAUUAGCUAGUUGGCGGGGUAAAGGCCCACCAAGGCGACGAUCCGUAGCUGGUCUGAGAGGAUGAUCAGCCACACUGGAACUGAGACACGGUCCAGACGCCUACGGGAGGCAGCAGUGGGGAAUAUUGGACAAUGGGCGCAAGCCUGAUCCAGCCAUACCGCGUGGGUGAAGAAGGCCUUCGGGUUGUAAAGCCCUUUUGUCGGGAAAGAAAAGCAGCAGGUUAAUACCCCGCUGUUCUGACGGUACCCAAAGAAUAAGCACCGGCUAACUUCGUG
rnacentral:rRNA from 1 species